rfam:Desulfuromonadales bacterium GWD2_61_12 gwd2_scaffold_767, whole genome shotgun sequence.
UUCCGCGAACUGGGGGGACAACGGCUUCCCCCUCCAGAUCCGGCGACGGGCUGACCGUCGUUCAACCACAAAGGAG